AUUCCCUCAUAACUGCGAGUGAACAGGGAUAAGCCCAUCACCGAAGCCUGUGGUCAUUUGAUCCCUAGGCAAUGUGGUGUUGAAGUCUAUUCGCAAAGGCAUUGCUCCACUCCAAGUCCAGCAAUGAGUACGGUAGUACGGACGUGGCCCAUAGAGGGUGAAAGGCCCGUGGGGGUGGAGAUCAGGUCGGUCAAUGCUUUUCUGAAUUGACUUUGGAGUCGGGUUGUUUGUGAAUGCAGCCCAAAGUGGGUGGUAAACUCCAUCCAAGGCUAAAUACUGACACGAGUCCGAUAGCGAACAAGUACCGUGAGGGAAAGUUGAAAAGUACUUUGAAGAGAGAGUAAACAGUGCGUGAAACCGCUCAGAGGUAAGCGGAUGGAGUUGAACUGCAAGCCCAGAGAAUUCAGCUAGUGAGUAUGGUCAUGAGCUUGGUCAUAUUGGUCGGACCUCAGAGUUUGCUUAGUUGCAGGCCCUCAUCGUGGUGAGGGUGCAUGAUAGACUUAUCAAGUUUUGUGCGUUCUGAGUGUCUGCGGGCUAGCUUGCUAGUGCACUUUCUCUGGGUGAUCACCACGACCGGCGCUGCUGUCUGUACAUUAUAGUCGAACCGGUUAGAUUUGAUCCCUGUGAUUUUAUCUAAUCGGGAUGGCAGGUAAUUCGUUAGCUUGUGUUGAUUUCGAUCAUCACAUUAUGGGCUUUCGAGUGUAAUCAGCUGUCUAUAGUGGAUCUGUGCAGUGCGUCGGGGAUGGCGGCUACUAGUGUGUGCAUUCGUGCCUGAUCUGCUGUCGGUUCUGAGUCUGGUUGUCAUGUUGCUUGUUUGAACAGGCCUGAUGAUGUCUCGGUUCUGUGCAGUGGAUGGUAGCGUAUGUGGCACUAUCGGUAGGGCCGAUAGUCUGUGGUGUAGUGGUAAACUUUCCAUCCGACCCGUCUUGAAACACGGACCAAGGAGAUUAACAUGUGCGCGAGUCAUUGGGCUUUACGAAACCCACAGGCGUAGUGAAAGUGAAGGUUCGACUUUGUUCGAACUGAGGUGAGAUCCUGUCGUUUCUCGCACAUGGUAUCACCAAGUAUCGAGCGACAGGCGCAUCACCGGCCCGUCUCAUGGCGUGGACAUUGGUUUUCGAACUGAUGCAUCGCCGGGGCGGAGCAUGAGCGCACACGUUGAGACCCGAAAGAUGGUGAACUAUGCUUGCGCAGGUUGAAGCCAGAGGAAACUCUGGUGGAGGACCGCAGCGAUUCUGACGUGCAAAUCGAUCGUCAAACGUGAGUAUAGGGGCGAAAGACUAAUCGAACCAU
rnacentral:rRNA from 1 species